rnacentral:rRNA from 1 species
UGCCAGCCUCCGCGGUACCACGUGUGGCGCACGCGUUAUUCGGAAUUAUUGGGCGUAAAGGGCGCGCAGGCGGUCUUGUCCGUCAGGUGCGAAAGCUCGGGGCUCAACCCCGGAAGUGCACUUGAAACAGCAAGACUUGAAUACGGGAGAGGAGAGAGGAAUUCCUGGUGUAGAGGUGAAAUUCGUAGAUAUCAGGAGGAACACCGAUGGCGAAGGCAUCUCUCUGGACCGAUAUUGACGCUGAGGCGCGAAGGCGUGGGUAGCGAACGGGAUUAGAUA